AAUGUAUGGUGAGGACCCUUUGUAAGUAACUCCUUGAAUCUUUCCUAACUCUCAUAAAUAGAUUCUCCUCAUAAUUGUGUAAAAAAAGUGAUGUCAUUUCUAAGCUU